ensembl:lncRNA
UUCUAUGUGAAGAUCACUCCUCUUGGAGCUCUUCUGUGAGCUCAGGAUAUGGUCACCGGGGAUUUCAUCAGACAGCCAUGAUUUUUCAAAUAUGACGGAGAGCAGCUCGGCAACCACAUCAACCAUCUCUUUCAGAAUUCUAAGAUGGAUAUCAUCCGGCCCCAUGGACUUAUACAAGUUCAGUUUCAUGAAGAGGACUUGGACGUGUUCCACCAUUACAGUGGGACAGAAACCACUCCCCACACCUUCACCUAGAUGCUCGUGGUCUUGGCAGACCCUGACCACUCAUGAAGACUGAGGCAAAGCACUCACUGAGUACCUCAGCUUUUUCUAUGUCUGAGGAAGCCAGCUCCCUAUUACCUUUCAUCAGAGGGGGAACACUCUCCUUGGCCUGUCUCCUCCGGCCUUUGUACCUGUAGAACCCCUUUGUGUUAUCUUUCACAUACCUUGCCAAGUUCAGCUCCAUCUGCACCUUGGCUUUCCUAAUCCAAUCUCUACACAAAUGGACAACAGCCCUGUAUUCCUCCCAGGAUACACAACCCUACUUCCACUUCUGUACAUUUUCCUCUUUUCUCUCAGUUUAAGCUGCAGGUCCUUGCACAGCCAUGAUGGUCACCUGCCUCCCCUGCUCGACUUCUUCUGCUGGGGGAUGGAAAGCCGUUGCACUCUCAGAAGGGUGUCCUUAAAGAGCUGCCAGCUUUGUUCUGUACCCAUGCCCUUAAGGACAGUUUCCCAGGGGAUCCCACUCAGCAGUUCCUUGAGCAGUUGGAAGUUUGCUCUCCUAGCUCUGCUUUUUGCCAUUCUUCAAGAUCACAAACUCCACCAAGGCAUGGUCACUACAGCCCAGGCUGCCUCCAAUCUUAACCUCUCUAAUGCUCUCCUCUGCAUUGAUGAGCAACAGGUCCAGUAAGGCUUCACCUCAGGUUGGUCCAUCUAUUACCUGGACAAGGAAGUUGUCCUCAACUCAAGGAAUCUCCUGGAUUGUCUGCCACCUGCUAUGCCAUUGAUUUCUAAUUCUACAAGCAAAAUAUGACAACAAAUGUUAACAGAAACUACAUUUUGUGGAACUGUAAUUGUAAACAUAAAAACAAAACAGAACAAAACAAAAACACUCCAAAUCAAUGUUUGUAAGAGUGGUAAUGGUAUUCUGUUCUCCGAAUGCUAUCUGUUAAAAUAAAUAAAUAAAUAAAUAAAAUACAAGUUUGUCCUUUACCAUGAAAACACUUUUAAGAAUUAUCCCUAGGAAAACUGGAUGUGAAUGAAUAAGCAGGGAAAAAGAAUAAAUACAAAAACAAAAGGAAUAUCUGCUAAAACUGCGCUACUAGAUAGUUUUAUGGCAGAAUUAUCUAGGUAUUAGUUGCUCUAUCACAAAAUAUGUUCCUGCUGCAACCACAAAAUUUAACACAUUAAUAAAAACAACCAAUCGAUGUAACAGCAGCAGUUGGUUAUCUGUAAAGUUCAACACUUAAUCAUAAUUAAGUCAGGAAAAGCUGACAUAUCCAAGUAUAAGAAAUCAUACAAAGACAACGUAACAAGUAGGCAGUCAUUCCUAAAUCAUCAAUUUGGUCAAGUCUGGCAUUGACUUCAAUUACUUCUCUUUAAGUUUUCUUGAAAAAAAUGAUAAAUCCCUUUUCCAUACAGCUUUUCCAGUUAUCAAAUUAAGAUUUAAGCUAAAUCCAUGAGUGCAAUGAUAGUUUACUUACAUUAAACCACAUAAAAUUCACAAUGAGGAAGUGUUUGUGCAGAUAACCACUUGACUAUGAAACACUAAAUACAUUAAUAAAACUGGUACAUUUUCUUUCCCAUGAAAUAUUAUACUGCUAUCAUAACAAGUUCUUGGUUGGUAGGUGGCUAUAAAGAAAACAGAAAAUGUACAGCCUUGUAUACAGCUUCUUUUCCUAGGGCACCAGGUGCUUUAAAUGCCACCAGAAGGAUGCUCUAGGCAAUGCCAUGCUGUCCAACAUGGCUUGGCAUAGAUUAGCUCAAAGCCUUUUUGUCUUUGCAGACUUUGAUUAAGGGCCACUGUUAGAACUCCUAUGGGUUUUUACUCGAUCCAGUGUAGCAUGGGGAGUGUUUUUUUUCUUUAUCACAGUUGCCAAAAAUAUGCCAGUUAAGAUAAUUACAUUUCAAUUUAAAUUGGUAAUUUAAUGGAAAUUUUAAACCAUGAUGUAGGGCAGGAUACGUACUUCCAGUCCUAACCCACAACAAUAGAUUUUGUCUGUUGCAGAUAAUUUAAUAGCUCAGACCUAUAUUUUUGGCUCUCCAUGAGAACUGACAGUUUUAGGACUCUCCAUAGUUUUACAGGAUUUUCUUCAAUCUGUUUUAAGUGUUGCCUUCAUUUUUAAGAAGCAGAGCAACCAAAGGAUAUGAAUGGUUUUUUGUUUGUUUUAACAUAGCAGUAUCACCUGUCUGCUAUUACCUACUUCAUUAACUGUCUUUGAGUCAUAAUAAAUGAAAAGA